UCCCUGGAGGCUCACAGGUUAAAGCAUCUGCCUGCAAUGCAGGAGACCUGGGUUCGAUCCCUUGUCGGGAAG
rnacentral:tRNA from 1 species